GGCAGUGGUCGCUCAGUGGUUAUGACGUUGGGCUACUGCUCGGAAGGUUGUGAGUUCAAAUCCCAGCACUGCCA